rnacentral:tRNA from 1 species
UAGCUCAGAGGAUUAGAGCACGUGGCUAUGAACCACGAUGUUGGGGGUUUGAAUCCCUC